UUAUAAGAUAGACACAAAGUGCUGGAGUAACUCAGCGGGACAGGCAGAAUCUCUGCAGAGAAGGAACGGGUGACGUUUCGGGUCGAGACCCUUCUUCAGUAAUAUCCAGGGAUAUAAUGUCUGCCACAGAUGAAGAGGUUGAAUAGACUAGGACUGUUUUUUUCAAAGAGAGAGAGAGAGAGAGAUCAGAGAUCAAGGGGGCGGUGCAGUAGCGCAGUUAGUGGAGUUGCUGCCUCACAGCGGCAGAGAUUCAGGUUCGAUCCUGGAGUUUACAAGUGCUCACAGUGAGCGUGUGGGUUUCCUCUGGGUGCUCUGGUUUCCGCCCACAUUCCAGAGACAUGGGGUAUUGUAGGUUCAUUGGAGGAAAGUGGGAUAACGUAGAACUUGUGUGAAUGGGUAAUCGAUGAUAGGCAUGGACUCGGUGGACCUGUUUACAUGCUGCAUCUUUCAAUCAAUUCAAUCAAUCAAUGAUUGAAACUUUAAAAAUUAUUUCAGGGCUCAACAAGUAGUAGAUUGUUUCUCCUGUCCAGAACCAAGGUCAGUCCCAGAAUAAGGGUCAGCCACUUAGGACAGAGGUGAGGAGAAUUUCUUCACACAGUGGACGCAAGCAGCAGCCAAGACCGGAGAAAGUUAACAUUGGCGUAGCAUCUGACAUGGUUGUCCUUGAUACCCAGAGCUGACCAUCGCUCCAUGGUUUCCUCAAAGCAGGACAUUGCUGCAAGCGGAACUGUGGGUGUUAACUUCCAGCAGUUACAGGAUGUUGGAACACCCAAAUCCUGCAUCAUUCCAGGACAAAAUAUGGUACAAAUGAUUCCGGAAAUAAAAUACACAAUAAAACGUAUUGAAGAGA